UUAAAGGGGUGGUCCAGAAUGUAAUUUUAAGGCUUGGUUGUGUUUAUAAGAUGCAAAGCAAUGUGUGCUUAUGUUUCACUUGACGGAAAUCGCGUAAUUUUUUCAUAUAUCUCACUUUGAUUAUACACAGCUACUCAGCUAACAUGAAAACGACUGUCAUAUUUCCUAGUUCCUCUAAAAGGCCCGCCCUUAAGUGACUCUGAUUGGUCAUCGACAUAAUGUGCUGCUAUUGGCGGAUCGGCUCCACGUCACGCCCGUAAAAGCACACGCUUUUCUGCUGUGUAAACAUGAAGUCAACCUCGCGCCCGCUCUCUAAAAUAACAUCUGACAAGUGUCUGUAACUAACGAGUGAAAAAGGGGUGCGGCUCCUUUAACAGCGUCUGUGUGUGCGUCUAUGUGUGUGUUUGUGUGUGAAAAUGGGGUGCGGCUCCUUUAGGAGUUUGCCAUUGUGAACUUUUUGUAACAAGCGCAUGUGCGCGGGACUUUCUUUUUCUCUGAUGCUCGGAUUAAGUUAUUUUCUGUAAUAUAUCGUGACAGAAGAAUAAAGCACAAGAUGUGGGAUGC
rnacentral:lncRNA from 1 species